rnacentral:rRNA from 1 species
CCUACGGGGGGCAGCAGUGGGGAAUAUUGCACAAUGGGGGAAACCCUGAUGCAGCAACGCCGCGUGAGCGAUGAAGGCCUUAGGGUCGUAAAGCUCUGUCCUAAGGGAAGAAUACUGACGGUACCUUAGGAGGAAGCCCCGGCUAACUACGUGCCAGAAGCCGCGGUAAUACGUAGGGGGCUAGCGUUAGCCGGAAUUACGGGGCGUCAAGGGUGCGUAGGCGGCCCUACACGUCAGUGGUGAAAGACUACGGCUCAACCGUAGUAAGCCUUUGAAAUCGUAGGGCUUGAGUGCAGGAGAGGAGGGUGGAAUUCCCAGUGUAGCGGUGAAAUGCGUAGAUGUUGGGAGUAACACCAGUUGCGAAGGCGGCUGUCUGGACUGUAACUGACGCUGAGGCACGAAAGCGUUGGGAGCGAACAGGAUUAGAUACCCGUGUAGUC